rnacentral:rRNA from 1 species
AGACGGAGGGCGCAAGCGUUGUUCGGAAUUACUGGGCGUAAAGGGCAGGUAGGUGGUCUGUUAAGUCUUCUGUGAAAAUCCGGGGCUCAACCCCGCGAAAUGCAGGUGAAACUGGCAGACUUGAGACCGGUAGAGGCUAGCGGAAUUCCUGGUGUAGCGGUGGAAUGCGUAGAUAUCAGGAAGAACACCUGUGGCGAAGGCGGCUAGCUGGGCCGGUUCUGACACUGAACUGCGAAAGCGUGGGGAGCAAACAGGAUUAGAAACCCCAGUAGUCC